rnacentral:tRNA from 1 species
AUCGAACCCGUAACCUCAAGGUUAUGAGCUUUGUGAGCUACCAAACAGCUCUAC